UAUGUGUUGCAGCUGCUUGGUCAUGCAAAUAGAAUGAUAGUGUGGCUAGAGCAAGGAUGUUGUGAAGGGCUGUAGAAUUAUUUUCUGAAUGAGAGAGUCACGCAGUUGGGUGGAUACUAAUAGGCAGUACGAAGAGAGGAAGUAACUGGCAAGUUAUCAGAAGUGAAAUGUGGGAAGAAGGGGUAGAGAUUGGAGAUAUCAUGCACAUAGAUCUGUGUACAACAGAAAUUAUGUGGAAGGACAUGACAAGAAGAUUAUUGUGUUUAACCCUUUGAUUUACAUAGUACUAGGAAACUGAAUUGUAUUCUCUUUGUUUCAGCAUUCCACUGAGGCCAUUGUGCUGUCAUGAAUGUGGCCCAGUGUGGACUGAAGAUGCUUAUGCUGUGAGACAUUCUAACCACCCAGAAGUGUUCCUGCAGAGCUCACCAGCAGGGGUGACACGCUGCCACCAACAUCAUGCCCUGCCAAUGCACUCAGUCACGUCUUCCCCACGGUACUCAUCGGCAGUGAAUCCUGCCCGCAUCCGCAUUGCCUCGGACCUGCAUGCUGGCCCACGGUUUGCACCUACUUGGUAGGCUUGAGGUACUCAGUUGGACCAAAUGUCUUCAGGCAACACGCAUAUUAAUGCUUAUCAGUGGAAUGCAGAUCUUUUUGCACCUGAUCAGUCUCCAUUUCCAGAGACCCCUGGCCAGUUUUGGGAAAUGUAUGGAGCACAUUACCUGCGGAUAGGUCAAGAAAUUGAGUCCUAUGAAGCCUCCUCCAUUCCUGCAGAAUUGCCUGCGGCUGAGGAAAGACCACCAGGGGUAUUGACGGAAGCAGGAAUUGAGCGGCUGCCAUCCUACAAGCAAGUCGUCAUAACAUCUUGCAUGUAUUUUCAGUUGAUGUAAUAGUAAGAACCAUGCAGGAUUCUUCGCAUAGGUCAGAUUAAUAUUUUCGUAGGAGAAACUGUUAAUUGUUCAUUAUUUUGGGGUCAGCUACUGUUUUCACCUUUCCUGUGUCUGUAUACUUAGGAGUAAUGUAAUGUAAUGUAAUGUAUGCUGUGUGAGUUGCAGUGAGUUUGUGGGAACAGCCUUC